CGCACUCCGGAGCCGGCACCUGCCACAGUCCCUGCUGUGGUGAAUGGGCAUCGCCACCUGUGCUGGUUCCACUUCUCCCCCAUAUCGCCACAUAAUACAUUUACCCCAUUGUUCGGUGUGUAUGCAUAAUAUGUCGGUACCCACAGUCGCUGGUGACAUUACACAUCUCGUUCUGAUGUUUUCCCAGUAUCCGAAAAUGUCAGGCUGACACAUCGGCUGGGUGCACAUCGCUCAGUGUGCUCCCAGCUGUAGACUUCGCAGGGAUGGCUUACUCCAACAACUGGCACAGCUACCCCUAUUGGAUUCUACUCGACAAGUGGACGUGAUUCUCGGCGUGGAAUGUAGUUUCAGGUUUUGUCCCGACCCAGCAUCUUUGACAAGGGCUAACUUGUUUGCCUAUUGAGUCAAAUAUGAUAUUCUGCCUUGAAUAUCUUCGUGUAUGUUUGAUUUUGGAAGAUGGAACUAAAUCAGCUAUCCAAAAGGGAAAAAAUAAGAGGCAAAGACGCAUAAGGUUCCGGAAGCCACGGAUUUUUCCAAUACGUACAACUGUGUCAAGUCUCCGUGAGGAAAGAGUUGUUAAAAAUGAUUGCUUGUCUCUAUCUAGUAUCUAUAUGCUGUAUUCACUAAUUAAGGCAAAAAUAGAUCCAACUACAAGGCGUUUGCAAGCAGUGCCAGGCUUGACCAAACUUUUAGCUACAUUACACUUUCUGGCCUCCGGAUCCUUUCAGUCCACAGUUGCGGAUGUUGGAGGAAUUACACAAGCCACCUUCUCUCGUUGUUUAACGAAAGUUUUGAAUGCAAUCCUGGAAUGCUCAUCAAUUUAUUAAUUGGCCAAGCAGUCCUGGUGAAUGGUUUGAGACUAAGCAGGCCUUCUACCAAGUAGCCGGAAUCCCUAACGUAUUAGGGGCAGCUGACUGCACACAUAUAGCAUACAUGCCACGAGAAAGCAUGGAGGAGGUUUCCCGUAAUCGGAAAUUGUAUAAUUCAAUGAAUAUGUUGGUAGUAUGUAAUGUUAACUGUAGGAUCAACCCAUGACUCCCAUAUUUAAAAAAGUUCCUCUAUCUACAGUGAUUUUGAAACUUCGAAAGUUUCCGGGGGAUGGUUAAUUGGAGAUGCAGGCUUCCCAGCCAUGCCAUGGCUUCUCACCCCAUUUGCAGUUGCCGAACUGGCGUGUGAGAAAAAAUUUAACCAAGCACGUUUCCACACGCUGUUGCAUUGAGCGUACUUUUGGUUUUUUAAAAAGUCGUUUUAGGUGUUCAAAUAAAAGUGGAGGAACCUUACUGUACAGUCCAGAGAAAGUCUGCAAAAUUUUUAUGGUGUGUUGUAUUUUGCAUAACAUCUGCAUAGAUGAAAGAAUACCCAUACGCAUCAAAAAGCUCAAUAACCCAGAACCAGAACAUACACCUGUCACUGAAGACCACACUUUUGUGACUGCUUAUCAGAUUCGACAGAGAAUAAUAAAUCAAUACUUUGCAUAAUGCAUGUUUGUAUAUUUUAGAGUGCCAAUUUGUCUUUGAACAGUAGUUAAUGUCUUAACAUUGUUACCGUUUCCUUUCCCAAAUUUUGAUUAAAACAAUGCUAGUUUUUUAGGAAAACAAUACUGUUUAUUUGUAGAUAAAUAUAUAUACAUUAAAAAACACAAAUGGUACUUGUUACAAAGUUUUUAUUUCGACAAAUAAAACAAUUGAUAUCCGG